GACAGCGCCUCGCGGGCACGGGCUGGGCAGGGACGUGUCUUUAGCCUCUGUCCUAGGAAGUCCAAGCGCUUCUAUGUGCAGUCCAGUUGCUUCCUAAUUGCUGAGGAUGCAGUGGUCAAGCCACCCUUUGUCCCUCUUCUCAAAAUGGACCAGAUGCUACUGCUGCAGUGGCUGCCACCACCCCUCCUGCCACAGGGAUCCCACUGUGAGAACUGCUGCACUCACUCUUCCCAGACUCUCUCAUCUUCUGUGUUCAGGACGUCUCAAGAAAGUUGCAAUAGAAAUGUUUACCUACCAUGAGAAGUUUCACAGAUGGCAGAAGUUGACACACUGCCUCAGUGCUCAUGGUGAAAGACUGGGAAGCUUUGGCGUCAAGACGUGAUGCCUCCAAACCACUAUUCGAUGUUUUGUAACCCCGGGUAAGCUGCGUCUCUUCUUGGAUUGCUUUAUCUUUAUGAGGAGAAUACAACAGCUUCCCCUGGACGCAGUUUGGAUGACCCAGCAUGCUCAGGCACAGGGGACUCCCAGCAGAACGCAUGACAUGGGUGGAGCCUGCAGCUCCGAUGGCCGUUCUUAAGCAGCUGGGUUGACGACGAGCCUCACAGAUGUGGAGGUGUGGACAGAAGCAUGCACAGAGACGUGCAUGUCCAGUGUCUGUGCUGGCAGGAAAGCCCGGGCACCGUCCCUGCUGCUGCUGCCCGCUGCUCUGCCCCUCGCAGGCCGGCGCGGGGGCUCACGCCUUGCUCUCCCCAGCUGUAAGACCAGAGUCAGGACAAGAGGAUUUCUGUAAUUCUGAUCCAUCCUGAAUAGUCCAUCACUUCAUGUUUUUCUAGGGUAUAUUCCUAUUUAUAGUAUCCAAGCGAGAUCUGUGGGGUCACAGUGAAAGUAACUCUGUCAAGAAAGCAAAGCCAGAAGCCGAAGAGGUCCUCAGCAGAGGCACUCAGCAGUGAUUGAAAAACAGCUGGUGGGGACUGAAUGCUGCAUCCCUAACCCCAGUAGAUGGUGUCAGGAGGUGACUAGAUCAGGAGGACAGAGCCCCGUGAGUGGCCUCAGUGCCCUGAAGAUGACAGCCUGGAGCCCACUCACUCCUGUGCUCUCAUCUCUGCAUGUGAAGGUGUGGUGAGGAGACAGCCCUCUUCAAGCCAGUGGGCCCAUGCAGACCCCCAGCCCCUGCUGCCGUGCCCUUGGACGUUCUAGCCUCGAGAACUGGGUGAAACAAAUGGGUGUCUGAGUGCCCCAUCAGUGGAAUUCUGUCAGAACGAACAGCGUGAAUUAAGAAGAGAGUAAAUUCUCCGUCUAUUCAUUCUUUCAUUCAUUCACUUCUGUGAAAUUAAUGAACACCUGCUAUAGUCCAGACAUUGUAGAAGGUGCUAGAAACAGAGAAGCAGUCAUUUUCCCUCUGUACACUUAGCGGGACAUGCGUGCAGUCUCAGUCAUGGUAAACAAGACAGUCUCUCAGGCGACCUGGAGGCCUGCACAGGUGUGAGAAGAGGGCACUCGGCCUCCAGGAGGGCACUAAGACCAGGGUCUUAAUGACUGUGUACUUCUCUGCUUCCCUCUCCUGAAAAAUGGGGAUGGUUUUGAUACUCACCUCCUAGAAUGCCCUGAGGAUUUAAUAAUAUAGUGCAGGUCGAGUGACGAGUGAGUUCUCAGGACUAGGUGUGUGUCUUCCAGCUCAGAAAGGGGACAGUGCAUUUGUGGUCAGGAGUGUGGCCUGUGAACAGGGCAGCCUGAGAGCCAGCUCUUCCAUGCACCCUCCUGAGGAGGCCUCAGGAUAUCCCCGCACUUCGGGUGUGCCCUCAUUUACAGGGCAGGAAGUAGAACUGUUUUUCUUCCGUUUGUUGAGACAAUAAAAUUGUAAAGUGCAUAUA